CAGCAGUGGGGAAUAUUGCACAAUGGGCGCAAGCCUGAUGCAGCCAUGCCGCGUGUAUGAAGAAGGCCUUCGGGUUGUAAAGUACUUUCAGCAGUGAGGAAGGUGGGUAUGUUAAUAGCAUACUCAUUUGACGUUAGCUGCAGAAGAAGCACCGGCUAACUCCGUGCCAGCAGCCGCGGUAAUACGGAGGGUGCGAGCGUUAAUCGGAAUUACUGGGCGUAAAGCGCAUGCAGGUGGUUUGUUAAGUCAGAUGUGAAAGCCCGGGGCUCAACCUCGGAAUUGCAUUUGAAACUGGACAAACUAGAGUACUGUAGAGGGGGUAGAAUUUCAGGUGUAGCGGUGAAAUGCGUAGAGAUCUGAAGGAAUACCGGUGGCGAAGGCGGCCCCCUGGACAGAUACUGACACUCAGAUGCGAAAGCGUGGGGAGCAAACAGGAUUAGAUACCCUGGUAG
rnacentral:rRNA from 1 species